UAAUUGAAGAGUUUGAUCAUGGCUCAGAUUGAACGCUGGCGGCAGGCCUAACACAUGCAAGUCGAGCGGUAACAUUUCAAAAACUUGCUUUUGAAGAUGACGAGCGGCGGACGGGUGAGUAAUAGCUGGGAACCUGCCCUGAUGUGGGGGAUAACAGUUGGAAACGACUGCUAAU
rnacentral:rRNA from 1 species